rnacentral:rRNA from 1 species
GCUUCUAGUACGAGAGGACCGAAGUGAACGCACCGCUGGUGUUCGGGUUGUGAUGCCAAUUGCAUUGCCCGGUAGCUACGUGCGGAAUAGAUAAGUGCUGAAAGCAUCUAAGUACGAAACUAGCCUUGAGAUGAGUUUUCCCUGAAGAGAUUCAGUAAGGUCCGUUUGAGACUAAGACGUAGAUAGGUCAGGUGUGUAAGUGUAGUGAUACAUUGAGCUAACUGAUACUAAUGAACCGAGAGUCUUAACCUUACAACUC